AGAGCAUGAAGGCGAGUGAACAAAACCUCGCAUAAUUAUCAAUUCUAGAAUUAUACUAUAUUAUUUUCUUUUACAUUUUUAUUAACAUUUAAUAUUAAAAAAAAUCGCGGAUCAAUAUUGAUUAAAUGAAAUGGACAUUCGAAAGAAAUGUUUCUGAGCUAUCACGUUUAUGCCAAUAAUUUCACGAUUUCCUUUCCUUUCUCUUCGAAUUGCGUGCAACCUGCCCAUUAUAAACUCUUAACCUAUUACGUGGGAUCGGAUAACCUGCGACAUUAUAGUAUAGAAUAUUGUAGAAAGUCUUCUAAAGGCCGCCAUCUGUUUUAAGAACCAGUAACUUAUGAGAAAUUCAUCAUGGCCGUUUUCAUUUGAUAUUUGCUUCUCCAAAAACCAAGUUCUUUGUUCACUGAUUAACUGAACUAAAUUAAAACGUUCAAGAGAUAUUCCGUGAGAGUUUGUGAUAUUUAGUGAGAUCAUAAUAAAUCAUUGAUAUUUAAUUUAUCAUUCAUUGCUCGUUAAACGGUACUUAACUUUUGAAAGUGAAAUGCAAAACGAAAAACAAAUUACUGUGAGGAAUUAAGAAUAUAUAAAAACACAAAAAUAUAAAAAUAACAAGGAUCUUUUAAGGACCUGAGUUGGAAAGACUAUAAAUUAAAUCCUAUCUUGAUAUAGUAUCAAGGAAAAUGAUUGAAUAGUUAGUGAAAACGAUAACGAAAGAACAAGGAAAUAUUGUUCAAUUGAAGUGAACGGUCGUUAGUUCGCAAUGCAAAUUAGAAAAAAUUCUCUAAGGUAUUCCUUGCCACUCAACUAUCACGCAGAAUGGAUUUUCAUCGGAAGUUACGUGUGCCAGGCGAGACUGAACAAAGUCCCUUAGAGGAAAUUGCGGAAGGAAAUGAAAUCGCAACCGGUUGUUACAAAUUUUUAGUUGCAGUCAUAUAUCUUGACCGACUGUUUCCUGAAGAAACGGAGUCGAGCACUGUUAUCCUAGAACGAGGCUCAUAGAGAGCGCGUUUACUCAACCGUGUCAGCUCAAGUUCCGGACUUUCUUGCGAUCGAGGAUGCGCCACGCAUACCGCCCUCGAAAUUAAAUAUAAUUUUAGAUCUUAUGACAAUCUAUUGAACGAGAGAAUCGUUCUUCUGCAUCGUCGGUCAAUUUUGGUACUCUGUUUGAAGCCUUUACUCAUAUUUAUGAUCAUUUUUGCAACCUCUUAAAACGGAUUUUUAAUUUACAUCAAAUUUGAAGAACACAACAAGAAAAUGAUAAUAAUUUCAAUUAUUAAAAGAUAAG